CUGUGGUCUGCAACCCGACCACACGAAGCUGGAAUCGCUAGUAAUCGCGGAUCAGAAUGCCGCGGUGAAUACGUUCCCGGGUCUUGUACACACCGCCCGUCACACCAUGGGAGUCAGCAACGCCCGAAGUCAGUGACCCAACCUUUAAGGAGGGAGCUGCCGAAGGCGGGGCAGGUGACUGGGGUGAAGUCGUAACAAGGUAAC
rnacentral:rRNA from 1 species